GUUCACGAGUCCUACGUAUUAGCCCCGGCUUAGUAGGCGGCAACCCUCCAACGCGGUGGGGUGCUCCGGGUGACGAACUGGUCAGGAAACUGACAAGCGCGGUAU
rnacentral:ncRNA from 2 species